UUUUUUUUUUUUUUUUUUUUGUACUUUAGUUCUUAAAUAUAUGAAACAUAUUUAAGUUUUGUACAAUAGUUGUGAGGGUCUCGAUCCUAUUAUUACAAGCUUACGAUUUUCUGACCCAAUUACAAUGCUGAUAGGAUUGCUAGAUUUAGAUAAAUGUUAAUUAAACCAUUAGAAUCUUCGUAUUUUAUGUCCAUAAUUUGUGACAUAAGAGAAUGUUUGGUAAUGUAGGAUUUAAAUGUCAUAUUUGAUCAAUUUAAACAAAUCAUUGUUGCUUUCUUUUUUAUGUUUAGUCCACAGAUAAAAUUAAAUGUGUGGCACCUAAAAUUAUAUGGUACUAGAAUGUAAUGUUGAAAACCAUAACUUUGAGUAGAAAUUUUUUUUGUUGUUCAAUUUACACCUUUUUUUUUUAACAUUUCUUAACAUAUAUUUCGUGUAUUUGCAUAAAAGCAAAUAGGAUCUUACAAUCCUACAUGUCCAGGCUUGUGAUUUCUAAAACCAUCUGGAACCAAAUUAUAGAAACCAUAUAAAAAUGAGAUGCUAUUUGUUUAGAUUUGAAGUAGUCGUGUAUGUCGUUGCUGGUGGAAACUACACUUGCUGAGUUUUGCACUGUGGUUUUGAUUUUUCCCUAAUUAGAAAUAAUUAAGAAUUCAUGGGCAUUUUCUCGCACAAUUGUUUGCUGGACUACCUAAAAAAAAUUAUUCACUUCUACAAAAUUAUCCUAGUGCCAUUGAUACAAUUGGUUAUUUUUAUUUUUGCUAAUACCUUUUUUUUCCCUGAAAAAAAAACGCAUAAAAUCCCAAAUUCAAGUUCAAGAAAGAACUCUAAAUUUGACAUCAAAAUCGAAACUCUUAUUUCUACAUAGGAAAACUCCAAUGACGAAAAUUCCAAACUAACUCCUUUUAAGUAAAGAGACCCUAGAAUUAUGAAAGAGAAAUGAUUGUUGCUGGACUGCCUUGUGUCCAGCUCCUCCACCUUGUCUAAGGAGGAGAAGAGAAGUUAAAAGGUUUGCUCCAAAACUUAAUUAAAUCCUUCUACCCAGCAAUUUGUCAAGAAAACAACAUAUACCGACCUAAAGAUUUGUUGACCGAUGCCAAUCCAUUGCGCCUAGCCUACCACACUCAUUAGUCUUCUCCUGGGGUUUGUGAUAUGAGUAAUAGUUACAGACGCUACAAAUGGUGGUUCAUAAAGUCUUGAUAAUUUAAAGAAUACUACUAAUCUGAUAGUGUUUUACAUUACAGAGAAAAUAUCCCUACUUGCACAGCUUCUUCUCGUCAUCUGUCUUUGGUGUCUAACACCACCCACAACUUCUCUCUACUCCUGCAUCCACCAUGGCAGCCAUCCACUUUCUAUUACCAAAUCAAUAUCAAUCCACAAAUUCUUGUUAAAUGUAUCAGGGAAUGGUAGAGUGCCACCAUUAAUCAAUUAAAAAUAGGAAAUGUAUAAGAAGAACGUAGGAUGGCAGGUAGGAACUGGGGUAUCAGUAGAGAGAGGCAAGAGAAUUAAAAAAAAAAAAAAAAAGAGAAAAAAAAAAUUAAGGGAGGUGGUGAUAGGCAUACGGAGGAGGCAGAGGAGUAUGGGAUUGCAGGGAAGGGUGUUGGGAAGUUGGAUUUUGGGGAGUAGCAGGAGAGAAGGAAAAUAAAAUGAGAAACAUCUUGGUUGGAUAAAUAUUAACCGGAUUAGCCGGUAACCAUUAUUAGCUGAAGAGGGGUGGGAUUUAAGAAGGGGGAAGGGAUGGAAAUAGCUGCGUAAAGAUGCAAUCUCCUUCGACUGCGUAUAGUGGGAAGUUAC
rnacentral:lncRNA from 1 species